rnacentral:rRNA from 1 species
UACAGAGGGGGCAAGCGUUGUUCGGAAUUACUGGGCGUAAAGGGCGCGUAGGCGGCCAACUAAGUCGGACGUGAAAUCCCCGGGCUCAACCCGGGAACUGCGUCCGAUACUGGAUGGCUUGAAUCCGGGAGAGGGAUGUGGAAUUCCAGGUGUAGCGGUGAAAUGCGUAGAUAUCUGGAGGAACACCGGUGGCGAAGGCGGCAUCCUGGACCAAUAUUGACGCUGAGGAGCGAAAGCCAGGGGAGCAAAACGGGG